GCCAACAGUCAGACUGAAUUGAAGGCACUCAAUCCUGUCUGAUCUCAGAAGAUAAACAGUCCCAGACCCAGUUAGUACUUGGAUGGGAGAUUGCCUGGGAAUCCUGGGUGCCAUAGGCA
rnacentral:rRNA from 1 species